UGGAAAUGAGGACAAAUUGUUUUCACUGAUCACGGAAUGAAGACUGUUAAUCCAACUCUGAUCCAAAACACC